UCUCUUUUCAUCUUCAGCCACACCCAAAGAAAACCUCUGCUCCUCUCUCUAAACUCCGGUGACCGGAGUAAAGUCCGGUCGUUAACCGGUUGCUGGCAAACCACACUCCUCCGUCGAGACACCAACAAUCCUCGACGAAAUCACAAAUCAACCCUUCUUCUCCGACGAGCAACACUCCCAAACCCCCUGUUACAUUUUAACUGUCGCUCUACCUCCAUUUACCUCCAAUAAACAGCCGGCCACCACCGAAGGGUGGUGGCGUACGGCGGCGAGAUGAAACAGAUCAGAGAGACGGGGAGAAAGACGGGGAGAGAGAGAGAGAGAGAGGAAACCGAGAGAAAAUCAAAGAGAAGGACUGACAGGGCAGAAUUUCAGGCGACAAGAGUGACCAGUUGAUCUCCGGCGGUGGUGCUACGUUUUUCCGACAAGUUUUCUGGUACCCCCCCUUUUCUUGUUAAUUUCUGAAAAUUUGAUGAUGAUGAUGAAAUGUUGUUGAUAAGGGCGAUGAUGAGUUGAUAUUGGCGAUGUUGUUGAUGAAGGCUUCAGUGUUACGGCGGCGGUGGCGGCACGGUUAUUCCGACCGACGAAGCAAUACGACUCGGGUCAACACACGAGUAGUUCGGUUCAGUUAAGUCGGGUCCGGUUGUGGUUAGUUAGGGUUCACAGUGGCUCGACUCAGUUCUCGGUUCAGAAUUGGUUCAACUCGGUUUGACUCGGCCAGACUUAGUCAACUCAAGCAACACGAGUCAAAAGCAGUCAAUACGGGUCAACUCAGUGGUUCGAGCCAACUUAGUUGAACGAGUCAGUCAACUUAGCGGGUCGACUCAGUCAACAGACGUUCAACGCAGUCAACAACAGUCAACAAAGAUCCUAUAAAGUUUUAAUGACGCGAGAUUUAGUUUAGAUCGAUAUAGUUUUGUUUAGACUUUUAGACUACGCGAAUCGAGCUCGACCGAUACCUCUAGUGUUUAUCUAUAUUUUAUUUUGUCGAAAAUUUAUUAUAUAUUGAUUGAAUCAAUUGAAAUAUUGAUGAA